rnacentral:rRNA from 1 species
UACGUAGGGUGCGAGCGUUUAAUCGGAAUACUGGGCGUAAAGCGUGCGCAGGCGGUUUUGUAAGCCAGAUGUGAAAUCCCCGGGCUUAACCUGGGAAUGGCAUUUGGGACUGCAAGGCUUGAGUGCGGCAGAGGAGACUGGAAUUCCUGGUGUAGCAGUGAAAUGCGUAGAUAUCAGGAGGAACACCGAUGGCGAAGGCAGGUCUCUGGGCUGACACUGACGCUCAUGCACGAAAGCGUGGGGAGCAAACGAGGAUUACGAAACCC